CCUACGGGAGGCAGCAGUGAGGAAUAUUGGUCAAUGGACGAGAGUCUGAACCAGCCAAGUAGCGUGAAGGAUGACUGCCCUAUGGGUUGUAAACUUCUUUUAUAUGGGAAUAAAAUAGGGCACGCAUGCCCUUUUGUCUGUACCAUAUGAAUAAGGAUCGGCUAACUCCGUGCCAGCAGCCGCGGUAAUACGGAGGAUCCGAGCGUUAUCCGGAUUUAUUGGGUUUAAAGGGAGCGUAGGUGGGUGGUUAAGUCAGUUGUGAAAGUUUGCGGCUCAAACGUAAAAUUGCAAUUGAAACUGGCAGUCUUGAGUACAGUAGAGGUAGGCGGAAUUCGUGGUGUAGCGGUGAAAUGCUUAGAUAUCACGAAGAACUCCGAUUGCGAAGGCAGCUUACUGAACUGCCACUGACACUGAUGCUCGAAAGUGUGGGUAUCAAACAGGAUUAGAUACCCCUGUAGUC
rnacentral:rRNA from 1 species